UACGUAGGGCGCAAGCGUUAUCCGGAAUUGAUUGGGCGUAAAGAGCUCGUAGGCGGUUUGUCGCGUCUGCCGUGAAAGUCCGGGGCUCAACUCCGGAUCUGCGGUGGGUACGGGCAGACUAGAGUGAUGUAGGGGAGACUGGAAUUCCUGGGUGUAGCGGUGAAAUGCGCAGAUAAUCAGGAGGAACACCGAUGGCGAAGGCAGGUCUCUGGGCAUUAACUGACGCUGAGGAGCGAAAGCAUGGGGAGCGAACAGG
rnacentral:rRNA from 1 species